GACGAACGCUGGCGGCGUGCUUAACACAUGCAAGUCGAACGGAAAGGCCCCUUUGGGGGUCCUCGAGUGGCGAACGGGUGAGUAACACGUGAGUAACCUGCCCUUGACUUCGGGAUAACUUCAGGAAACUGGGGCUAAUACCGGAUAGGAAUCCUUGCUGCAUGGUGGGGGUUGGAAAGCUUCGGCGGUUUUGGAUGGACUCGCGGCUUAUCAGCUUGUUGGUGGGGUAGUGGCUUACCAAGGCUUUGAUGGGUAGCCGGCCUGAGAGGGCGACCGGCCACAUUGGGACUGAGAUACGGCCCAGACUCCUACGGGAGGCAGCAGUGGGGAAUAUUGCACAAUGGGCGGAAGCCUGAUGCAGCAACGCCGCGUGCGGGAUGACGGCCUUCGGGUUGUAAACCGCUUUCAGCAGGGGCGAAGCUUGUGGUGACGGUACCUGCAGAAGAAGCACCGGCUAACUACGUG
rnacentral:rRNA from 1 species